rnacentral:rRNA from 1 species
CCUACGGGGGGCAGCAGUGAGGAAUAUUGGUCAAUGGACGAGAGUCUGAACCAGCCAAGUAGCGUGAAGGAUGACUGCCCUAUGGGUUGUAAACUUCUUUUAUAUGGGAAUAAAAUGUUCCACGUGUGGGAUUUUGUAUGUACCAUAUGAAUAAGGAUCGGCUAACUCCGUGCCAGCAGCCGCGGUAAUACGGAGGAUCCGAGCGUUAUCCGGAUUUAUUGGGUUUAAAGGGAGCGUAGGUGGAUUGUUAAGUCAGUUGUGAAAGUUUGCGGCUCAACCGUAAAAUUGCAGUUGAAACUGGCAGUCUUGAGUACAGUAGAGGUGGGCGGAAUUCGUGAUGUAGCGGUGAAAUGCUUAGAUAUCACGAAGAACUCCGAUUGCGAAGGCAGUUCACUGGACUGCAACUGACACUGAGGCUCGAAAGUGUGGGUAUCAAACAGGAUUAGAUACCCGGGUAGUC